GAGUCAUCCAUCAUUGUGCGUAAGGGUGUUUCCGUGCUAUUACGGAGACAAUUUCGCUGCGUGCAUCGCGCGUAUCCAAACGUGCAAACGAGGUAAGGCGCUGCCAACCCAAGAAAACGAAACGCAACCAAUGAGCGCGCGAAGAGCGACCGAACAAUGAACAUUUGCCGUGAGUUUCCGGCCAAAUAUCGAACAUCGAGUGAAUGAAUUGACUGUCGGCGUUCAUCAUUUUUUUCGCGUCGCCAUUUUUUUUACACGUUUCUGUUUAUUUUGUUAGUUUUGUUAGUUGUAUAUUAUUUAUAACAGUGUACUUAACGUUAAGGUGUUGCUUACAUUUGUUGCAUCUGGGUUUUGGCUUGCAUCUUAGGAUAUAGCACCAUGGCUCUUAGUGACGAGCUGGCUCAAUUAAAGCUCCGUAGGGGCUAUGUAAAGGGUGCAAUAACUCGUGAAGAAAGUUUUUGUAACAGCGAAGAAAUUGUGAUCGCGUCUAGUGAGUUGCUCACCGAGCGGCGCAAUCGCUUGGCGAAAAACUUUGCCUCUUACGAGGACCUUAACAAGAGUAUUUUAUGUAUAAAUCCAAAGGACGAAGAAGACCCUUUUGUGUAUGAAAGAAUUCAUAGAUUUUUUGGAGUCCAGAGCGUUGGCCAGGGAGAAUGCAAUGGAAACAAUGCCUGUGAGUACUCCCAGUGGUGUGAAGCCUGGCAAGCCUGCAUGUAAUACAGCAGCAGCAGUCUCAUGUGCUUCAGAGGGAAUCACUGCCUCUAACGCCGCAAGGUCCCUACCUGGUUAGUACCAGCCUAGGUUAUAUUGUGGCAGGCAGCUUACCGGUAUCUGUUGGAAACAUCCAUUCUUCAAAUUUGUGUAUAACAGUUCAAGGUACCCCCCAUAAUAUUUCUCAUAAUUCUCAUAAUGAUCAACUUGAUAGUAUUGAACAUACUAUUUCAAAUUUUUGGAAAUGUGAAAAAGUACCUGAAAUUUAUAAGGAAGGUAUUACUGAGCAUCAACUAGCUGAGGAAUGUUUUCAAAACUCUGUCAAACUUGUUGAUGGAAAGUUUUGUGUAGAUUUACCUUUAAAACUUAAUUUAAAUGAUAUCCAGAUGGGUAACUCAUUUAAUCAGGCAUUGCAUCGUUUUCAUAAUUUAGAAAGGCGUUUCGCUAAAGAUGAUAAGUUAUUUCAGCAGUAUAAGAAGUUCAUUCAUGUUUAUCUUGAGCAAGGCCAUGCCAUGUACUUUGAUAUAUCUAACUAUGAUCCUAGGGCAGGUAAUGUGUAUUUCUUACCUCACCGCCCAGUCAUUAAUUUGAAUAGUAAAACUACUCCGGUUCGAGCUGUCUUUGACGCGAGCAUGAAAACCAAUAAUGGUAUUUGUCUAAAUGACAUGAUGCUUAAUGGGCCUGUUGUGCAAAAUGAUUUAUUUGACAUUUUGACACUAUUUAGGAGUUUUAAAUAUGUUUUACUGUGUGAUAUAAAGGCUAUGUAUAGGGGUAUAUUAGUGAGUAAAGACCAUUGCUGCUUGCAAAAUAUUCUUUGGCGAGAUUCUGUUGAUCAAAGUGUGCAAUGUCUUCAGCUACAAACUGUCACAUAUGGUUUAAAGAGUUCUGCAUUUUUAGCAACUAGGUGUUUGAUUGAACUUGCUGAACGGUACCAAGAGAAAUAUCCAUUAGCAUCUUUUGUGUUGAAAUAUUCUACAUAUGUCGAUGAUGUUUUAUGUGGUUCCAACGAUAUUUUAGAGCUUGUUGAGAUAAAAAGGCAACUUAUUGAGCUUUUGAACUUAGCUAGUUUUUCAUUACACAAGUGGUGUUCAAAUAACACUGAAAUAUUAGAUGACAUUCCUAUUGAAAUUCAUCAAUUAAAUAAGGGAACAAAUAUAAUGACCACCAUAAAAUGCUUUGAUACCCUUAGUUUUGCAACCAGAAAAAUCUACUGAACACCAGAAAAAUAAAGUCUAAAAAUGUAAUAGUACCAGCUAUUUUAGUCACGACUUCACUUUAAAUUGUAUUCGACCACCAAAUUUAGUAAAUGAUCACCAACCCUUGACGACCAAAUUAAUAUAUUAUUUUUGCCUAAAUAAGUCACUGUGAUUGCCAUAAAAUGUAGGCUUAUUAUCAAACAAAGUAUUAUGAUGCCAUAUUAAGUUAUGUGUCCGGCUUGCAAUGCAUGCGUGAGUGUCAGUAUGACGAGUGACAGGGGAAAAUGGAAGAAAAUGACAUAUUGCGCCGACCCCAAGUAAAAUUGGGAACAGGGCAGGAGAAAGAAGAAGAAGAAUGUGUUUCUCAAUACACUCCCUCGAAAACACACUCUUAUCGCACUGGUU
rnacentral:misc_RNA from 1 species